ensembl:lncRNA
GAGCCACUAUAUCAUAUUUCCCCUUUUUUAUUUGGUUUAAAUUGUUCUUCUCUUCCACAUUAUAUCCUUAUCUUUCCAUGUUCCCUUUCUCCAUUACAUUCCUUUAAGUCUACUCCUUUAACUUCCUUGAUCCACUCUUCUAUCCCUCACUGUCAAUCUCUCAUUCACUCGUCCUCUUUUCCCUCACUGCUUGUCACUUGUCUGCAGCUCCCUCGCCACUCUCCUCUCGAUCGCUGCUCCCUCAUCAUCUGCCUCUCCUCUGCUGGUUCUUCUCCCUCAUCCGCUGCUCCCUUCCACCACUUCUCCUCACUUGUCUGCUUCUCCCUCACCACUUUCACUCGUCCACUGCUCCCUCGCUGCUCUCCUCUCAAUCGCAGCUCCCUCGUCGUCUGCCACUCAUCUGCCGAUUCUUCUCUGUCGUCCACUGUUCCCUUGCAGCCCACCUCUCGUCCUCUACACCCUUGCUACUCACCUUUAUCCUUUGGUCUCUUGCCACUCAUCCCUCGUCUGUCUCUCGUCCAUCGCUUCUCUUCUUUACGUCUCUCCCUCGUCUGCUGUUCGUCCCUUCCUCCUCUGGUUCUUAUCCAUCAUUUCUCCCCUCCUCCGUGCUCCUGGUCCUUAUCUCACUGGGUCCUUCCUUCCCAGUGUUUACUGGACCUUUUUCUUUCUGUUGUUACUUUGUCUGUCUCCAAGUUUGGUAUAGCUCUAUUGCCAGAGGCAGUCUUGAGUCUUCCUUUUGCUCUGUUUUCUGUGUUUAUUGCUCUAUGGGCCAGCUCUCUCUUGCCCUCUUUCUCACUUCUUUCUGUCUCUAUCGUCUUAGCUUCCUCAUCUCACUCUUCCAUUUCCUGACUUCUUCCACUUUGUUUAAAGAAGGAGGGCUGUAGACUAAUCUUCAUCAAGGUCAGUUCUCCUCAAAAUGUCACCACUGCCCGGCUUCUCCUCCCCUUUUCUUUGUAUUUGUUUUUGCUUCCCCUUUAAUUAUAGUUUCAAAUUUGCCUCCUUCCUUCAAGGUCUAGCCCCCUCUUCCCCAAACCAAGGGACCUCAGGUCUUCUAAACUCCUCUUUUGCGCCAAAUCCCUUCCUCCCCUUGUUUCAAUCCAAGCAAAAGUCUUCUGUUCUAAUCCCGCAGAGAGGUUUUUGGCUAUCAAAGUAAGAAUCCUUCUCAAUUUUACUCACUUCACAGUGGAUUUGAUCUUCUGGUUGAAUUUGAAAGUGGAUGGGUCGGCAGUCAUCCAGAGAAUUCUGGCUCAAACCUUAGCAACCUGCUUACCCAGUAAGCUCUUUUUUUCUGGGUCCAUGGCCCACUGUCCUUGAGGGGUGGUGGGCUCUUGGACCUUCGACUGGGGCUCGGGGAGGUUAGCUGUCUAUUAGGCUAAAAAUUCUGCCUAAUAGAGGGAGCCUAUAGGCUCUACCCGGUUGCUUUGGUGGUGGCAUCCCGAGAGCUCUCAGGACAUCUGUCCUGCCUCCAUGGCAUCCACCCGCCAUGACUCAAAAGGAAAAGGGGACAGCAGUGUGUGUGUGUUGGGGGCAGGGGAUUAGGUCCAACAGAUACUGCAUUUUCUCUCCCUUCAAGGCCUGAAUCUUUACAUGGUAGAAUUGAGUUAUUCACUCCACUUUUAAUAUCUUAGCCGUCAAUAGAGAUGGUUGAAACCAUCCUGUUAUGUUCCAAAAAUUUGUGCAAAAGCCAAAAGUUCUCUAUUUUAUUUCCAUCAUUUCUAUCCCGCCCUUCUCACCUGAAGGGACUCAGGGCAGCUCACAAUCCGGCAGAAUUCAAUGCCAAUAUAUAAUACAAAAGACAAGUGAAACCAACUGACAUUUAGGAACAAUCCUGUUCUAAAACACCCCACAUCCAAUGACAAUUGUUAUUCUCCCAUCAUGCAUAGAAAAGUGAUGCCUCUGGGAGGGAAUCGUACUCAAAAUCACAUAAAGAAUUUGGAUCCUUCAGAAUUUGGGAUUAGUCUUUUCAUCAGAGGUGUUGCUGGUCAUACAAAAAAGAACCCCAACAACCUACAACAUAUAUCUUACCACUUCAUCGCAUGGAGAAAGGAAAGCAUCCUAGAAUGCUUCCAGGAUGCAUAAUCAACGGAGCCCACCAAAGGCCAUCACAUGAUGUAAGGCUAUUCUGGCAAAGGCUUCAAAGAGGAAGAGUCCUGCCAGAGAACACGGUAGGCUUCCUGUGUUCUCAU